GACGAACGCUGGCGGCGUGCUUAACACAUGCAAGUCGAACGGAAAGGCCCUGCUUUUGUGGGGUGCUCGAGUGGCGAACGGGUGAGUAACACGUGAGUAACCUGCCCUUGACUUUGGGAUAACUUCAGGAAACUGGGGCUAAUACCGGAUAGGAGCUCCUGCUGCAUGGGGGGGGUUGGAAAGUUUCGGCGGUUGGGGAUGGACUCGCGGCUUAUCAGCUUGUUGGGGGGGUAGUGGCUUACCAAGGCUUUGACGGGUAGCCGGCCUGAGAGGGUGACCGGCCACAUUGGGACUGAGAUACGGCCCAGACUCCUACGGGAGGCAGCAGUGGGGAAUAUUGCACAAUGGGCGGGAGCCUGAUGCAGCAACGCCGCGUGCGGGAUGACGGCCUUCGGGUUGUAAACCGCUUUCGCCUGUGACGAAGCGUGAGUGACGGUAAUGGGUAAAGAAGCACCGGCUAACUACGUG
rnacentral:rRNA from 1 species